AUCUCGGUAUCAUCUGCAGAAUAUGGUACUAAUGCAAAGGAGUCUGUAACAGACUAUACUACACCCUCUUCUUCUCUGCCUAACACUGUGGCUACUAAUAACACAAAGAUGGAGGAUACUUUGGUUAAUAAUGUGCCCCUGCCUAACACCCUUCCCCUCCCUAAGAGAGAGACUAUACAACAGAGCUCCAGCCUAACUUCAGUUCCUCCCACUACUUUCAGCCUCACCUUCAAGAUGGAGUCUGCACGCAAGGAAUGGGAGAAUUCUCCAAAUGUAAGGGAAAAGGGGUCUCCAGUAACUUCCACAGCACCUCCAAUUGCAACUGGAGUCAGCAGUAGUGCCAGUGCACCAAGCACUGCUAAUUAUAAUUCGUUCUCAAGUGCAUCGAUGCCCCAGAUUCCUGUUGCUUCAGUCACUCCUACAACAUCACUAUCAGGAGCUGGUACAUACACUACCUCUUCUUUGAGCACAAAAUCUACAACCACAUCAGACCCUCCAAAUAUUUGUAAAGUGAAACCUCAGCAGUUGCAGACAAGCAGCCUGCCUUCUGCAAGUCAUUUUUCACAGUUAAGCUGUAUGCCUUCCCUUAUUGCCCAGCAACAACAGAGUCUGCAAGUUUAUGUGUCUCAGUCUGCAGCAACUCAAAUCCCAGCCUUCUAUAUGGACACAAGUCAUUUAUUUAAUACCCAGCAUGCACGAUUGGCUCCACCAUCCUUGGCUCAACAACAGGGUUUCCAACCAGGUCUCUCUCAGCCAACUUCAGUUCAGCAGAUUCCAAUCCCUAUUUAUGCACCACUGCAAGGGCAGCAUCAAGCCCAACUGAGUUUGGGGGCUGGACCUGCUGUUUCCCAGGCUCAGGAAUUGUUCAGCUCUUCACUUCAACCAUAUAGAUCUCAGCCAGCUUUUAUGCAAAGCAGUUUAUCCCAGCCAUCUGUGGUCCUUUCUGGGACUGCUAUUCACAACUUUCCAACUGUCCAACACCAAGAACUUGCCAAGGCACAAUCUGGUCUUGCCUUUCAGCAAACAUCAAAUACCCAGCCUAUUCCCAUAUUGUAUGAACAUCAACUGGGGCAGGCAUCAGGACUAGGAGGUUCCCAGCUGAUUGACACACAUCUUCUCCAGGCUAGAGCAAAUCUUACCCAGGCUUCAAAUCUUUAUUCUGGACAAGUACAACAGCCUGGUCAGACAAAUUUUUAUAACACUGCCCAGUCACCAAGUGCUCUCCAGCAGGUUACAGUACCUUUACCAGGAUCCCAGCUUUCCUUGCCUAAUUUUGGAUCUACAGGGCAACCUCUAAUUGCUUUGCCUCAGACUCUUCAGUCCCCGUUACAGCAUACCACUCCCCAAGCACAGGCUCAGAGUCUGAGUCGUCCUGCACAAGGAAGCCAGCCUUUCAGAGGAUUAAUUCCUGCUGGAACACAGCAUAGCAUGAUUGCAACCACAGGAAAAAUGUCUGAAAUGGAACUAAAAGCCUUUGGAAGUGGCAUUGAUAUAAAACCAGGCACACCUCCAAUCGCUGGUAGAAGCACCACACCAACAUCUAGUCCCUUCCGGGCUACUUCUACAAGUCCGAACAGCCAGUCCAGCAAAAUGAACAGUAUUGUCUACCAGAAGCAGUUCCAGUCAGCCCCUGCCACUAUGAGAAUGACACAACCGUUUCCUACACAGUUUGCACCCCAGAAGAGAGCUGUGGGAAGAGGACUCAGCCACAAGACAUUUGGUCCUAGGUGUUGGCAAAGCAGAGAGCAGAGGUUCUUCAGUCCACGCAACGGUUCUUCUCUGAACAGCAACAGAGCAAACAGAUAGGAGGCAAAGCCCAGAAAGUGGACAGUGAUUCAAGUAAACCUCCUGAAACACUGACCGACCCUCCUGGUGUCUGUCAGGAAAAAGUAGAAGAAAAGCCACCCCCUGCACCCUCCAUAGCCACCAAACCUGUUAGAACUGGACCAAUCAAACCUCAGGCAAUCAAAACCGAAGAAACAAAAUCUUAAAGGCUAUGGUUUAUUGCAGGGGAUUGGGGGUGGGGGGAGGGAAAACAUGGAGAAUUAAGUCAGAUAAUGCCAGCAGCCAAAGGGGCAAAAUGGUCCGUGACAUUAUCCUGUUCAGAGCUUGGAGAUAUACAAGGGACAUAGGAGCAAUUUACACUGACACAUAGCUGCUGUACCAGUAAAAAUGAGGCUUUGCAAGCUUGUACCUACUAUAUAACAUGCACUCGGUUGAUGGCCACGCAUCUUCAGUCAGAAUUUAUAUAUAAAUAUAUGCACCCAUUUUUUGGAGUGCAUAUAAUUUA